AGACUCUCCAUAGCAUAUCAUCAGAUUUCCUCUGUACUUCUGGACAACUUGUAUCAGAGCUAUACCUGAGGCAAGCCUGAGAACUGCCAUUUCCAGGAAAGAAAGUCAAGGGUCACAGGUUGAAUAGUCCAGUUAGUGAAUGGACAGAGCUUCAGGGAACUGAUUCCAGCUUCGGAGCUCUUCCUCUUCCACUCUUUUGAUAAGUAACCACAAACCCUUCUUUACACCUGCUAUCACUGCAAUCAGCAGCAGUACCCCUUCCCCUCUCAAGGUGUGUAGUUCUGGGAACAGAAACUAACCAAAAAGCUUAAGGUCAACUAAGACAGCUAUACAUGAUGACAGAAACAUCAGCCAAGUGUGAGCCUCCUGUUUCACAUCCAGAAGCUUCAGCACAGACCAGAGAAGUGGGGGCAGCAGCCUCGGAGCCUGAAACCUGAGACAAUGACACCAGAACAUAAAUGUGCCCUUAUCUCACUUCCUCCACCUGACUCUCACUCCACUAUGGACCAUGGGGCUCUAGGAAAGAACCUUGGUCUCAACCUGGGUGACUCCCUCAAAAAGUCUCCAUUUGGCAAAAAGAAAAAGAGAAGGGCUGGAAAAUUUUCUACUGUUACUGUCCUGAAAUUCUAGCAAAAAAGAUCACUGAUUUCUUUAAGUAAAGCAUGUUCAACAGGGAGUUGGGGCUAAAAUAGAACUUAAGGGAACAUUCCAAUCUGAACCUCUUCACACUUGCAGUAGGCAAGUACCUUUUUUUCUUGAGGACCUUCUGUUUAAAAACACUGAAAAAUGAUGAGCUGUAGGGUUUACAGUAAUGGGAAAGGAUAAUUCAUUCCUCCCUUUUUACAAAAAGAUACCAAAGUCUAACAGGACUCCGGGUGUGCAGCGAUACAAACCCAGGACUACAACAACUGAUCCUGUCCACAUUCCAAUUCUCCUUUCUACCCUGAAGACUACUCUGGCUAUCACAGACCAGAGAGCCCCCUCUCUGAGUUCCUCCACCAACUGCAAAAAUGAUCAUCAAAGCCACUGAAAUGGAAAAUAGUGUUUACAAUGUAAUACUGGUUUUCUUAUAGCAUGUAUAAGGCACGGUGUGAGAAAGCUGCCCCUACUCCCAGCCACACAGCCACAUGGGCUCCUCAUUCACACACAUGCACACAGAAGAGGCCAGCUGAUUUUGUCACAAUCCACAAGGAAUGAACUGCUUCUGGUCACUUCUGGUUUUUCAGUUGGUUGGAGAGCCAAUCUAGGCCUUCGUAGAAGCCCAUCUCCACUGGUAGCACAAGUAGCCUGAAUAUACCAGUUUCUCUGGCGGAAGGGAAUGUAAGCCAAGCUUGUCCGUUAUUUCUGCUGCAUUCAUGGCAUUGGGAAGAUCCUUGGAAAAGAAUGUGCAAAAGUCAGUUUAUCAUGCUAUGUCUACACAAUGAGAUAUGCUCUUCCUCCUAAAACAUUCCCUAACCCAGUCUUCUCCUCCUCAGUUGUUCUGGCCAGAAACCUUAAAAUCAUCCUUAAUUUUUUCUCUCAAACCCACUGCCAAUCUGUCAGGAAUCCCAACAGUCCUACCAUGAAAAUAUAUACAGACUACUUCUCACCACCUCCACUGCUACCACCCUGAUCCAACCCCACCAGUUUCUGACCUGGAUUACUGAAAUAAUUUCCUGACUGGUCUCCACGCUUCUAUUCUUGCCCCCCAAACCUCUCCUCAACCCAGUAGUGAAAAGUCAGAUCAUUAAGUCUACCAAAACUCCA
ensembl:lncRNA